AGAGCAAACAGCCCUGCUAUCCCUGCUGCAUAGUACAGCCUGCCAGUCCCAUCAUUUCCCAGAAGGCAGCAGACAGAAUGAAGAGGCAAAAGGGGAAGUGCCUACUUAACACAGCUCAGGGAUGACAACCAGGAUGGUGUCGCUGAUGAUGAUGAUGAGAAGCUCUUCUUCCUGGAUAUGCGGUGCUUUGAUGUGCUGGCUCUGACUAGCUCUGACCCUGUGUUCCCAAGACCCAGGGAGCCUUUGAGGACACCUCGGGGGGAGCAGGUCAUAAGCCAAUGACUCAUUCGUGUUGGGUUGUGGGGUGAGUGGUAACCUCCAAAAUGUGCUCCUGCUCCCUCCCUGCAUGGGAAGUGAAGCCAACCGAGGCAGAGGUGGCCUGUCUGGGCCAACCUUUCCCUCAAGGUGGCAGAAAUGCCCCCAUCAGAAAUGCUCUUUUAGAGCAAACAUUGUCCCCUCCAGGAGCAUCUUAAAAUGUAAAUAUGCUGGGACAAUGUGUGCCUUCUGUGUUCCGGGCCCUGAAAACACUGCAAGAGGAGAAAAGCUACAGCCUCUACCCCCUUAUUUUCCUGAAGGUAGACUGGAGAGUGCAGAGGCUUCCCCCACAUUUCAGGCUCCCCUGCGGAAUGAGAAGCAGCCUCUCGUCCCCUUGUCAGUGCUGAGCCCAUAGGGGUGGUAGCCAACACGAGAGGCAGCGAAGCCUGUUCAAACUUGUAUUUAUUUUCUAAGAGGUCGGGAUGAGGGCAUGGGGAUGGGGAUGCAUAACUUGGGUUUCGGGAGGAGCCACAGACCUUGGGGAGAAGGAUGGAGCCUCCUGCCCUCAGUCGUGCUGCUAGUAGGGGUGAUUCAGGGUGUGCUCCAUGAUGGUCCGAAGCGCCAUCCACGUCUCCUGGGCCGUGGGGAUGAUCUGUGUGGCCGGCAGCAGGAAGCCAUACUGCCCAGUGUCCCGGAGCUCAAAGCUGAAGGCGUACUUGAUGCCACUGUCAUAGGCCCAGUCGACGGUGAUCCCACUGGCCACAUCUAGAAACAAAAGUUCCAAAAUGUGCCCCACAAAAGGAAGAAGGGGAUGUGGCUGCAAGGUACAGAGGCAUCCUGGGUGGAAAGUGAGCCCUGGGAGCCAAACCCCCACCCACCCCAGGCCACACCAGGCUUCCUGCCCAGGCCUCAAACAGGAUCACAUCUGUGCACCCAGCCCAUUCUCUACUCCUGCAAAAAGAAAGCUCCUGCAGGCUACUAGGCUUAGGAACCUUGCAGUAAGCCAGGCACUGGGAGCUGUGCACAAAAGCUGCCAAGAAACAGCUCCCUGGGUACCACUGUUCACCCUUCUAUCCAGUGUGGGAGGCAGCUUUGGGCCAGCACAGCUAGAUCCUUGGCACUGCCCUGCAGCCAGCCCCAGGUAGAUGUGGUGUCUGAAGCAGGGCCAGGGGAGGCUCACUCACAGAGGGUGGUGCUGAUGCUGCCAAAAAUGUACUCGAUCCCAUGGACCUUAUACAAGGCCUCCACCGCAUCCUUGGCAAGAUCGUACUGCAAGAUGACAUUGGCGGGGUGAAAGGCAGGGGCUCCCCGGGGCUCCCACACACUCCCCCACCCUCACCAGCUGGUGAGAAGCAUGGAUUUAGCAGUCCUGGAAGUUGAAGGUGGAGAUGGCCCUUGUGAGAAGGGAGCACAGCAUUUCCAGCUUUGAACUUGAUCACACGUGAGAACAGCAAGCUCCCCCUACCCCACCCCCGCACCAUGGGGUCAAUCAGCCCAGACCCCUGCAUUCAGAGUAACAACCUGAGCCCUCUGGGAGUAUGACAGAUAUGGAUUUUCCUGUGAAGCGGUCUCUUCUCCCCAGGCCCUAAGCAGCCAGUCUCACCAACUCCCUCUGAUUUGAAACGGGCUCCAGCAAUCGGCCGUAAGGGUACAUAAGCAUCUGAGAGUAGCUGUGGAUGGAGAUCAGAGCCUUGAAGUUGCCAUGGGCUGUGAUGAAGUUCACUAUGGCAGCCACCUCCGGCUCCGACUGAGGGGAGGGCCCGUGAUAAGUUUCUGAGCAGGGGUUGCUGUUAGAACCAUUUCCUGGAAGUAAAAUAAAGCCACCCAAAGAGUCAAAUCCCCACGUGCGACACAGACGGUGCUCACAAAAUACCUGUGUGUUCCCCUACAUUUCCCAGCCUCCUUUGCAGUAUGACUGAGGUCAUGUGACUACUUUGACCAAUGGAAAGGUGAGCAGAAAUGACACGGCACUUCUGGGUUGAGAUUGUUAAGAGCAAGUGUGACUUCUCCAUGCUCUUUUCUGUCUGUGUGGCUGGAAGCAAAAAAAAAAAAUUCUAGAUAGAAACAGCCUCCUGGAUCCCUCUCUCACUGCGGAAGAAAGCCGCCAAGGAGAGUCACCUGUUCAUGUUGGACUUUGUGUGCAUGAAAAACAAACUUUCAUUGUGUUAAACCACUGAGAUUGGGAUGGAUAUUUGUUACUGCUGCAUCCUCUAAUCUAAUAUGUCAGAGGACUGCAGCCGCACCAUACCCUGCAGUUCUGAAGCCCUGCAGGGAGCCCCCUCGGCUUGUCCUGUGGUCCCUUUAGGAAGGUGGGCCUGGCUCAGAAGUUGCAUCCAGAGGAAACGGAGCUCCUGCACCUGCUCCACUUGAUGAAUGACAAACAGCAACAGAUGCGCAGAGCGGGGGGAGGUUGAAGGCUUUGUCUGCCUUUGCGGCCCACGCACAGAAAGCGGUUCCCCUGCCAACGACCAGGUGGCUUUGCCCAAAUAUGGAGAAACACUUUAGGCCAUUAGUUCUGGUUUGAGCUAAGCAGAAUAAACUAAUCUUCCCCUGGCCAAAUGGGAAUUGGCUGCCUGCAUCUCUGACGUUCACAGUCAAGGUCCUCUGAGUCCGCCUGUUUCACAAGUACCUGCUAAUGGAUUCAUUAGCUAUUUAUUUUUCCUUCUCUAAAAAUGUAAUUUGUAGCAAGGGGAAAUCUCUGGAAGGACAUGGUAAAUUAUUAAAAGCAGUGAUCUUUGAGUGGUGGGAUUAUGGGAGCUUUUUGCCCCCUCUGGGCUUUUUUCCAUAAUUGUUUUGUACACUGUGUGUAUAUGGAUAUUUUUUUUCCUGUGGUGAGACCCACAGAAGUUAUUUUCUUUAAGAGGUAAUUUAUCUUUCUACUAGCCAGCCUAUCUUGGGAUCCAUGGGUACUCACUCCAGUCAGUGCUGAGGGGCCACAUGGAUGCCCCCCCUGAGGCAAGCGUCUGUUCAUUUGGAGGUGGAAAUGCCUAAUUUUGCAUGGUCUUGUUCCAUUACACAAGCAGUUACAACCCCCACGCUAGGGCCAGGGACCUCACUCUCAGUGCUUUGGGGCCAUCCUUAUUUUUCAGUGAGAACAGACCCCAAGAAGCCAGAUUUUAAAAGCAAUGGGCAUCCAGAUCUAAAAUGUUCUAUCUCAUUGGUUGGGACACCAGCCUAUAGGUCUGAUUAUCAACAGCAAUGACACCGUCCCCUGUGGAGCCAAACCCUGAGCCCCCGGUGAAGUGCAGAUGCCAUGUCUGGGGGCCGAGGGCUGUGUCUGUUCUGGAAUCUCUGUCAUGACUGGACCCAUCAAAUUGUCCUGCCCAUCAAAUUGCUGUAUUUCCAGGGUCCAUGGACCUGUCUCUGAGCUUUCUGGAGGC
rnacentral:lncRNA from 1 species